rnacentral:tRNA from 1 species
ACUUAAAUAGCUUAAAAUUUAGAGUUUAAUAUUGAAGAUAUUAAGGUAGUAGAUAUACUUUUAAGUAAUUUUA